CCUUAGGAACUGUGGUACAUCCACAGGGAGACUUAGGCUUUUCCAGAAGGAAAUCAUGGAUCUUGUUUGCUGACAAUCAUGAUGUCUGAAGACUAAGGGCUAUUUAAAGUGAGAGAAAAAGUGCAGAUAUGGUUUUUCUGAGACCAGUAAAAAAAAGUUCGUACCAAAUGCCCAGCUGAGAGUAUUUUAUGUACAAAGGGUGUUUAGGAAUUGUAUGCUGUUCUGGCCAUAAAAUAUGCAUGUCUCUGUGAUUUACUACUGAAGUACUUCAGUAACGCAGACUUAAGGAUUUGUGUCAUUUUAAUGAGCAUUGUGCAUGGAGAAAAUCGUGUUUUGAAAAAAAAACUACAUUUUGACAUGAAUAUUUUCCCUCUUGAGUUGGCAUUCGUGAUCUUUAGUCCAUGGCAUUAUGCUCCUCUAAUCUGGCCUUGUCUCUGCUGCCAGUGCUGGUGCUGCUUCAAUGAGACUGAUGAUGGCUUUGUCAUUUAUCUCCUCCUAAUGUCCCUGCUGAGCUGGGCCUCUUUCUUCCUGCUUUAAAUGGUAGUUUUUCUAUGCUCUUUGUAAUAUUUUUCUGCUGCCAGCACGCUGAGCACUUUUUAAAUGUUUUUAAGUAAAAUCAAUAGGAUCUUUUUUUUAACAUAAAUUCAUCAAGCCAGAGCCAUUAGUGAAAUAUUCUAGGAGCGCCUUCAUCAAUAACUAACAUUUAGCAUCUUGCCCUACAGUACUCUUUUUGAUGUAUAUGUUUACUAGAAGAAAAUGAAGUCAAACAACUUUGAAUGGCUCACCAGAUUUUGGGAUACCUUUGAAUUUUCUAUUUUUAUUGUAAUAAAUGGUAAAGUUGCUAUUCUGAGCAUGAAUGGCUCUAAGAAUGUAAUAGCUGGGAUCAUUCCUGGGUUGCUUGGCAGAGUCAGGGAAUUGGUUGGCAACAGUACUCCUUUUAUUAAAAAGCAUUAGGGAAAACAAAGAGAAGGUGCAUGUGUUUGUGAGAUUGUAACGCCACCGGAGGGAUGUCAUGUAGACUCUGAGUGGAUUCAGCCAAUCUGGGGGCAAAAUUGCUGUCUGUGUUAACGAUCAGACACUGUUUCUAAUUUUCUUCUUUGUGAGACCUGGUUGAGGAAAUCACUAAGACUUAAGAGACAUCAGACAAGCAGGGUUAUCACCGGAAUGCUUAUGCCUUCAUUUGGAGCAAUGAGAUUGCCCAUCUUUUCUUACUGUCUCUGAGACCAGCCACGGGCUCAGACAGGUGUCCAGAAGGCACAGCAAGAUGGUGGUAAUUGGCAGUGGGAGGUUUCAGUGCUUGGGACAAGAAUUGCUUUGUGAAAACACAGAUCUGCUUUGCAUGAAGGAAACCUUACUUUUUCCAGUCCUCUUUUUGAAGAUGUGCUGGAGGCACUGCAGUGUCUCAGAAUCUCUUAACAUAGGAUGCCAGAGGAAAGACUGGAAGAAGUAGCAUCAAAUCAAAUCAGCAUCCUCUCCCUAACUUUUCCACAUCGCUUUGCUUUCUGUGUUGUGAGCUGUAAAACAAUGCAGUGAUGCUAGAAAAGGGCACGUGUGGCUUGUUCCAGAAGACAUUAGUAACUGAGAGUGGGAGUAGAAAUGAGGCAAUAGAAUUGGUAGCACAAGCACAUGUCUCUGCAGUUCAUAAAAUAGCCUUCUUACCAGAUUUGUUUUUCUUGGGUUUUAGUUCUGUGCCUGGCUUUCCUCUUUGCAUCCCAUUAAUUCAUCUACUGCUUGAAACAUUCACCUUAAAAUGCUCUCAUCCUCUCUUGAAUUCUUUUCCAGGUACAGGAGGGCAGUGGGAAAGCGUGGAGCAACAAUGCUGUGUAGCCUAGGGGGGAGGAGGGACAAGAAAACUGCUAAUAAAGUAGAGCUGAAAAUGACGAGGUCUUCUUGACCUGUUCCUGACACUACUUUUUUCCUAAGAAAGACACAGUCCUGGAUGCUUCAGUGCUCUUUCUCAGGGACAUAGAUUUGUUUUUGAUCUUUCAGAAUUAAGUACUUCAAAGUCAGAUCUGCAGUUGAGUGUAUGCAUUAAAAACAAAAUGCAUCAUUUCACAGAUGUCAGACUACUUUUAGUGGCUUCAGAACAUAAUUUUAUAGUUCAAAUAGGAGUUGGGGGGGGUCUAGAAGAGGAGCGACAAGAGGUGAACGCAUAUUUCAGUUGUUACAUUUUGAAAUAGAUGAAUUCAUUUAGGCAAUCAUGAAAGAAAAUACAUUAAGUAUUAUAAAGCAGGAAAGGUAAGGAGAGGAUGCCAUUUUUACUAGCCUUUCUGUUUCUUUAAGCGCAUAAAGCAAUUAGCUUAAAGACAUCAUUUCAAAGCUUAAGAAGCUUUUAAGUAGGAAUGCGCAAUUGAGAAAGCAUUUAUUUUCAUUUCAUCAGCUAGAACGAUAGCUUUCUAUGAUGCCCUUCAAAAGGCAGCAACAUUUCACUGUUUUUGUUUUGCUUAUAUUGAAUUGCGAUAAAUCCUCAGCAUGGCUUAUUCUGUGGUUAGCUGUAUGUCAGCGCUGAGUCCCUGUCUGCAGCUGGCUUUCUUUGGGGUCAACAAAACCAUUCCAAGUUCUGCAGGUACAGAAUGUGCAUUCGCAGUGUAGAUGGAACAUUGUGUACAAACACUAAACAUACUUAGAUUACAGAGCAUUAAUCCUGUGUUGUUUUUUUGGCUAUGCAGAUUGCUCUUUCAGUAAACUGCUACCCAGAAUACAUGAAGGUUAACUGCUGCUGCGCUGCUUUGUAUACAGUUCCUUCUUAGCUUUAUACUCUCAUUUGACAAAGGGCACUGGCAGACUAUUGGUUUCUUGUCAGGGUGAUUCAUUUCACCCAGCUGCUCACCCGCAGAGUGACUGCUGCCUUCAACUAUUGCUUUUGCUUGCUGUGAUGUCCUUAGCGCAGUGUCUGCCCCUCUGCCAGCAGAAAGGAGUGCGUGUCUUCUCCUCUGUCCCACCCGUGUGCCAUCUCAUGGACUGGCACAGCAGUGUGUGGUACUGAUGGUGUCUUUGUGUAUGUAGGCGAGAUGAGUAAGGAGACGCCUGUGUGUCUCCUGGUGAUGCUCAGCCACCUCUGGCAAAGGCAGAGCGGGCAGCGGUGUGGCAGUGCUCUGUACUGCAAAGGGUCAGCAGGGCGUGUAAGGAAAGUAGGUAACUUAAAGCACGUGGUGUUUCACUUGGCUUCAGUGAGAGGACUCCAGCCUCGCUUCAGAUAUUCCUUCCCAGAACCACACGGCUCCUGCUCUGCUGUGCAGAAGUGCACCUCAGUCUCCAUACCUAACAAAUUGAAGGCUCUUCUUGUUUCACAGAGCAUCAGUCGACGUCCUGCCCUCGCUCUCUAAAUUUCUCCCAAGCCUUGCAAGCACCAGAAGUACGAGCGCCAGAUCCUCUCAUCUCCUUCCCUCCCUUGACCUCACCUCUGUGUCCCACACCUCUCCAGGCAGCCCAUGCACGCUCCUGAGGAAGAAUGUGGCCAAUAUACUGCCAAGUGCUGCUAAAUGGAAGAAGGCAGAGGAUAACAAAAAAUCAAAAAGACUGGAGGAAGAUUUCUUCCUGAUGCUGUAAUCUCAUGCUGCUGUUUAUCUCCACCUGUGACUUUGCUUAUUCCUUCGUCCCUCUAUAAAUCACUGCAGCUGGUGGUGCAUUCACCCAACCUUUCUGCCAGGAUGGUGUCAAACCUCUUCCCAUCAGACACCUGAACUGGUCAAUUCCUACCGCUAAACACCACUAUUUUGAAGAAGGAAAACUGAAGUGAAAGCAAAUUUCAAAGGUACUCAAGACUUGUGUGAUACGGCGCUGAGCUCUGUGCUCACACAGAGAGCUGUUGGUUUUAGGCAUGCUAAAUGAAACACAUUUUACAUCUGCAGCAGAGUAAGAAAAAGUCUCGUUUCUUUUGCCUGAACAAAAGGCAAAGCAUAUAGCAGCUGCUGUUCUUGUAGUAAAGAUUUCAAAACUGAAUGGCAGUGCUCUCUCACUCCUAUUCAUUUGACACUCAGCUUUCAGAUUGUGAUGUUCACUGUCAUAUUUAUCACUUAACUAUGAUGGGCUGUUUGGGGUGACAGUUAUGGAUGGAAGCAGCCACAGUUCUCACCACCUUUCCAGAUCCAUUUUAAGUGGUUUCUGCUCCAUCAUCACUAAGAGCUGAUGCUGCUAUUCCCAUAGUUGGGAGAUUAGAAGCAAUGUAUGAAUUCAGGCCUUUCUCCUUCCUGUGGUUGCCCUAUGGUCAGGCAGAGGAGACUUUCUCAACUCUUUCGACCACUGCUGGUGAAAUGAGCCCCACAGUACGUGAUCGAGAGAACUGACUUUGAGCUUUGAUAGUUAUAAAUAGUAGGCACUGUAAUUGUCUAGCAGUUCUCCUGCAAAGAAGAGGUAAUUGUGUGGAUGAAUAAAAUAUUGGCAUUAAAAAAACAUUUUAAGCUUAAUCUCAAAGUAGCUGAUGAAGUAUUUCUAUGGCAGACCUGUCAGCUCACGUGCUCUCAGUGGUAGCUUCUCAUGCUUGGUUGGCUCUUUUGUAAGAAGAGAAAAAGAAUUAAAAAGAAAAAAACAAAAAUGAAACACACCAGAAACACAUGCACAGUACAGAAUGCACACACAACGAAACAGCAAAAUAAUCCUGAAAAUCAAAUGCGUGCAUUUGGAGAGGGCCUUCUGCACUUCUACAUGUUACCUCUCAUGGGGAAGUUCCCAGCCCUGCCACUCAGGCAGACCCAGUGGAGGAGCUUUUCUCUCUGGGUGCCCAUCCCCAGCCUCACUGUACCUGACAACUUCAUGGUUCAGCCUGUUUCUUCUCCAGGGGGCAGAGCCAUGCUGCCUUCCCCUUCUGCAGGGAUGAAGCUUCGGCUGCCAUUACACUGUGCUCUUGGAGAGACCUUCAGCUCAAACUGAUCUACAGCCUACCUGUGGGAUAGUCUUCAGCCUCCAGGCAGAGCAAAGCAGCCAGAGCACACCUGGGAGAGGAAGGAUCCUGAAAACUGCUGCUUAUGGGGUGGCAUCAGAUUACGACCAGUUCCUAGGAUUUGGCUCAGAGAUACAGAGGAAAGCAGGGAGGUGGGCUGGCUCCUCCAUCCUGGACCAAAAGUUUGAUGCAGGGAUUGGGUCUCCUCCCACUGCAUCAAUGCAUAGGAUGAGGGGAGGAGGAAGGAAAAGUGACUGGCAUUUUGAGAUCAUUGAUAACCUUCAUGAGGCAUUAGUUUUAUUUAAUAUAGAGUGUCAUGUUGGGUCCAGUAUUUCAGGGACCGAUUUAAGAUUUAACAGCAAUUCACAAUGCUAACAUCAGCCAAAGCAUUUCUGUUUGGAUUUUAGUUCUCCAGCAGAAGGAUGACAGCACUGAAGAUUAAAGCUUUUUUUUACCCCUCCUUAAGAUCUCAGCAAAGUGCAGAUUUGAAACACAGAAAGAGGUUGACCUUCGUAUUAACCUGAAUCUCUUUUCCUGUUUCUUCUUGAACAUAUUUUAUUCUCUUUAUGCACAGUGGGGCUCUUUUUUUCUUGUGUGAGGCUGUUGAAUGAAAUGCCAGAAAGAUGGAGUGUGCACUUUUACAUCAAAGAAAUGAUGAGACCAUAAAAACUCAUUUCCCUUGUGACUUCUUAAAUUGUUGCUAAGGAAUUCAAUGAGUCUGUUUGAAACAAUGUGUCCCUUUAAAUUCUGUUUUCUUAUUUGUCUUAAAACACAAAGCCACAGUUUCUUGUAGACCCCGAUUCAAAGGCCACUCACUGAAGUCAAUAAAGGUUUCUUAGUCACUGUGUUUAGAUGUAGGUCAGAUUUUUCAAGUAUUCCACUAUGUAGAACCCAGGCAGACUGAUUUCAAAAGUUCUGGCUAUUCACAGAAAGAAAGAAAAAGGUCUAGUUUGUUUUUGUUCAUUCAGGUGGUUAAAAACGUCCCCUUCAAAGGGGCCAGAAUUGAGUCAACUGUCAACUGCUGAGCAGAACAAAUCUGACAGGGGCAAGUAAAGUGAAGCAGUAGUUAAAUUCAGAAAUCCAAAGAAGUAAAAAUGUUGAUUUACUUUAGUUUUUCUCAUGCACAGUGGUGAUGUGCAGUAGAAGCACAAACAAAACCCACAGUUCAGACUGUUGGAGGGAUACCCUGCCUAUUUCUGUGUAACAGUUUUGGGCAAUCACUCUCGCUGCUGGGGUGAAUGGUUUGUUAGUACUAUAACCCAGUGAGUUGCUAGAAAUGGUCUUGAUUGGAGAGCAUUGUAAAGCAAUUAAGUUCUGACUAUUAACAAAGCUCCCACAGAGAGCAUUAAUUUUUGAAAGUAGACAAAGUCUGCGCUACGACUUUCUAGUGACUGUGUGGAAGUGUGACCAGAGUGAAAUAUGGAAACUGCUACAGUAAGUCUCAACUGUUGUAGAUAUUCCUUAUCAGUUUCCAGGAAAAGGUUUUAAAGUUCCAAUUUAGAAAAGCAUUUAAAUGUAUUCUGAAAUUUAUUUCAAUUUAAUUGGAUACAGGUUUAACAAAUUGCUAAGUUUUUGCAUAAUAAGUAGCAAUUUAAGUAUCUUCUUAUAGAGCUGGUUUGGAUUUCAUUUAAAUAUCCUUUUCUCGGAAUUGGAGCCUUAGUCAUCUGAACUGUAAUGGGAUUUUCUGGGUCUAAAAUCCAGAAAAUGCCACUUUGCUCUCAGACCCAAGUCAGUCAUCUUCAUCUAUGAGAUACCCAUAUUGUGUGCACAUGUUCCUUUCCAGAACUCCAGCCGCCUGAGCUCUUUAACUUACUGUUUGUUUCUCUCUGCAAAGGCGUAUGAUAUUUUAAGCAGGUAACUUAACAGUGGUUCAAAAUAGUGAUUUCUUGUGUUAGCCAGUGUAAGAAAAAUCAUAGAAUCAGUCAUAGAGAAAUGCCAUGCUGAAGAUGCUAAAACCCCAGAAUGGAGGUCUCCAUCUCUGAUCGUUCUCAGAGGUUGAAAUUGCAGUUCGUCAUCUUCCUAUCUAUUGUACCCAAUUUCUGGUUGCUCUGCUCUGUUUUAUGCCUUGAAAAGGACAUUUGCUUUAAUGGUCCCAUGCUGGGAUUUCAGAACGAUGGGGAAACAUUGCUACCAGUAAAAUAUGUGGAACUAUUUUCAAAACGUUGGUGUGAGCCAACAGGACCUAUCAAAGCCUUUGCAAAAGCAUAAAACCAACUUCUCAGAUUACAUUGUUUAUAAUUUCUCUUGGGUUAUUUCCCAGUAACACAGAAAACGUGUGACUCUUUUUGUAUCCGAAAGGAGUUUGGCCAGUGCUGAGGUGGGAGCACAGGAUCUUUACCAAACAAGGCUCCGUGUCGUGACGGGCAGUCUUUAGGACUCUGAGUAACUGAAUGCUUGUAGCACUUCACUUUCUGAAGAUAGAUGAAGCGUCUUCUGAAUUACAUGUGGUUUUUUUAUGGUUUGUUGUCUUGUUUUUCUCCUUGUAGUGUAAUUCUGAACCACAUGAUCAAGCCAGGUGUUAUUCCAUGCUACUGCUUCUGAAAAUGCAGAUGCAGCAGAUGCAGGCAUACGGGUUCAGUGAAUCAGGAACAGAUAAGUGUCAACUUUCCUCUGUGGUUGUGGUUGCAAAGACCCUUGUGCUGAACGUUUAUUCUCUAGUGUUUAGAAAGGAACAGUUUGAUUAUAGCAGUACUUUGUUUAAAAAAAUUUCUUGAUAACUACACUGAAAGUGGAUAUUUUCUGCUAUUACUUAAAACUCAGUGUUGGUUGCAAACCCAAAGAAAACAGGUACCCAUGUUCAAUAGCCAUACCUAAUACACUGUUGUGUUAGAUACCACAAUCCUAAUUCCAUAAGAUGGUGUUCUUGGAAACAGCAGAAAAUCAGCAUGGAAUAGAAAAAAUUUCCUCCAGAAGAUGCAGUUUCCAUUGUAAAACCAGUCGUUUGCAUUUUUAACAUCCCACCUUGCUAGUUUUUCUUCUUCUAUUGGGAAGAAGUUCAUAACAAGUUCACUCCUUUUAAUCUAAGGAAAAUGAACAGACCUCCCAGAGUUGAAAACCCGCUGUACAAACAGCAAAAUUAUUCCGACUUCCAGGAGUAAUUUAAUUAGAAGGAUUCUUCAGAGUGGCUUUUUUUUUUUUUUUUUUUUUUUUCAUUAGAAAAUGUGGUGUUUUUCACGCUGUACAGCACAAAACCUUUGGCAUUUUUGUAAAGUGUAAUAAAAUAAUCACUGGGAAUUUCUGGAUCUUUCUCUAUAGGAGUUGCUACCCAUUUUUCUUUUUAAGCUAAUUUAAGGGACAGAGUAGCUCAAUAAUUUGUUUUUCUGCUUAAAAAGGUGACUUUGAAGAAGAGUGACAUGAUAAACCUUCCACGGUGAUUAUGGAAAAUAUUGUUUCUGCUAUUUAUGAAAUACACUGUGAUGCUCUUUUGAUUAAAAAUGAAGAUGAAAAUCUUUCAAAACCUUUGAGACAAAAUUAUUUCAGCAAACAAAGAAUGAGAAGAGUAUCUGGUAGUGGUGUGGACUUCUGCAUGGUCUUGAAUAUGUGCUGCUCUGUGGAAGAACCAUUUCCAGAAGUGGCAUUUGUCCCCACAGACUUUUUAUGUCCAGGUGUUUCACUUAUCUGUAGUUCCACUUAUGUUUUCUUUUCUUUUCUUUCAACUAAUGUCCAGGACAAGUUAAAGUGAAUCCUACAUUCACUGGCUGACUAGGUGCUAAUUGCUAACAUCAGUUCUGAACCUGAGACAGAUAUUAGCUCCAUGUGCAAUUAGCACACUGAUGUACAGAGGAACUGAGAUCCCAAGAUGAAAACCAGAAGAAUGAGGUGCUGUACUGUCAUUUUGGAAGACAGUACCCCAUUUUCACUACUUAUAGUUACAGAACAUCAUUAGUUUUUGAAAAUGAACAGGAAAAUCUGCUAUUAGUGUUCCUUCCUGCUGUUAUGCAGCAUGAGGGGUUCUCAAUGUCUAUGCUUGUACUUUGUUGCUCUUGUUGAAACAUCCCUUUCUUGAAGAGAUCAUUUAGGACUGGGAAGACCAGAGACUCUGGGAAUGAUAUUCUAACAGAGUUAGAAAAUGCCAGAAUGUUACUGACCUCAAUGUGGAUUACAUUUCUAAAGUAGUUUGGGACAUUCUCUUGCCACCUGUAGUUGUAUAGUUUGUAUUUCAGAAUUAGGGAGGUCAACAGUAAAGAAGCGAUACAUUUCAUCUAAAGAGUGAUGUAGAGAAUUGUAAGGAAAUUACAACUUUUGUUGAGUUCUUUACCGACAUUUAUUGACUUCAUUUCUGCUUAACGCUACAGCUGACACCAAGCCCAGCCCUUUGUUUGCAGGACAGUAGAUUUAAGUGCUCACUAAAACAAGAAGUCUGUGGAAUAAUUAAAUAAUGAGUAUUUUUAACAAGUGUCCUUUGAAAACAUCUCAAGGUAAUGUUGAAAGAAAAUAAAACAAAAAAACAAACAAUAGGAAGAACUGAAAAUCAUUUGCAUAGAAAUGAUCACAUUCCAUCAUGAUGUCCUAAUUUGUGCCUAUGUUUUAGGAUGUUUAUGGUGAUUCCAGAGCUGAUUACCAUAUUAAUGUCAUGAAAAUAAUAAAAAUGUACUGAUUUAGUGCAUUACUCCCUUAAACCAGUCAUAAGAAAAGAUUUACCUUAGUUAUUCUGUGGUAAAAGUUAUAUUACUCAUUUUCUUCAUCUUCAGUGCAUGUGGUAACACAGAAAUAUCACUUUGCAAAGUGCUUUAUAUCAAGGAAAUUCCAGACCACAACAAAGGAGUGCAUGUUAAAAUCAUGAGAAAUGUAGUUUGAGGUGAUUCAUGAAAGAAAUAAUCAGUGUUUAUGAAUGCUAAAAUGUGUUACUCAACUAUGCGCUAGUAAAUUAUGCCUAUGCGUAAAAAGGGAGCAGGCUUAACACUGUGACUAGGAAAGCUUUACUGUAGUCAGAUUUGCUACUAUUGGACUGAAAAAAAAAAUAGUAAGGGAAAGAGAAGUUAAAUAAUAAACUUAAUUUUGCUUUGGAAUCAACUGCUUCUCAGUAAGAUGGUGAAACUGAAAAUGGCUUUAGGAGCACAGAUGUGAGAGAUGAUAGGGACCAGUCAGAGGUCUAGAAAGCACGGGCUCUGAAGAAAGACUUUAUGAACUGGGAUUCUUUUAGAUUAAAAAAAGAGAAGGCAAGGGCUAGGUGACUUCACUUUCAGUUUUAUAUUUUUAUGGUAAUAAAAGGAAUUGAAAGAGAGUCACUGCACCCAAAGUCAAAAGCCUUUCAGACAAUGAAAAUUAUUCCUUUGUAAAAGUUGAACCAUCACCCAUCCUACAGACUUAUGUAAAGAAACAAGGAGACAUCAGUGUCCUUUCACUGCCAGAACGGGCAGGGAAGCAUCUCACAUGGGUUGGCAGGACUUUGUUUAUAUGCAGGAAAGGGGAGUGCUGACUCUCUUGGGAGAAUCUGCCAUUGUAUUAUUUUAUUUAUAAAUAUUUAGCUAAUAGAUCAGCUGUUUGGAAAUACUGGAUAUAUACCAUUGGAAAUGGUAUUAAGCAAGCAAAUAAAUAACUGGUUUUAAACUGUGGGUGGUAAACGCGUUUACAAAAACCUUCACAAGGAGCACCUGGCAACCUCAGCAGGUCCUGUCAGUGUAACUUGCUCGUGAAACACCCAAUCAAUAAUGCACAUGAGCUACAUGCCAUAUGGUCAUAUGCUUUUCACUAGGAUGAUAAAUGAUAUUCUAGGUUAUGAAAGCCAUCUUUAUAAAAUGGAAACAACUCCUGCAAACAAUCAAACUGAUGGAGGAAAAUGAAGUGAUACAAACGAACUGGAAAAUUCACUGAUCUCCAAAGAGUUCACAAUAAUUUACACAAGUUGUUCUUAUACUUUGUUUACAGUUGUACAGAGAGAGACCUUUUCUUCUCAGGGGCCAGAAGGGGUAUUGCAUACACGAUGUGAGAAUGGACAGGCAGAGAAGAGAGAAGAUGGAUGGAAGAGUGGAUGCAUUACAAAGGCUGUUCAAGGUUUGGAAAGUAAAGGAAAGUAAAGAGAAUCAUUUACUUUGAUAUCCAGCAUAAGCUGAAAUGAAUAACGUUCAUUUCUUGAGGAAAAUAUGGUGCAUUUGAAAAUCAGUGUUCAAAUGAGCAAUAAUCCAGUCUGGCUUCCUUUGUGUUAUCCAAAGCAGCAGCGUCUUCAGCUUGAGAUAAGGACCUAUCCCCUUGCUAUCCAGCAGUACAUAAUCAGCUCUUAUGACUAAAAUAUGUGAAAACGGAGAAGGAUUCUCUGGUCUGAUUCUUGAACCCAAAAGGCUGAUCAGGAAAGACACAAGCAAGAGGUCACAACAUUGAGAACUACUCUGGAGUGAACCAGCGCUGAACUACACUGUGCUUUAAUGACUUUUAAGGUUUCCAGGUCAACAUGGAAGAUAAAGAGAAGACAGGUCAAAUUCUGAAAAUCGUGGAAGAAAAGUAGUUAAGCUGACAAAAAUGAGAAAGGAUGUGAACACAUAAGGUCAGAAUGAAAACCUAAGUUAAAACUUAAUAACUUGUCUUGCGUCAUAGUAGCUCUUCGGUCAAUAAAUUAUCCAGACAAAGUUUAUUACAAAUUAUUCUUUUCAGUGCAAUUAGACAUUUGAAAUAUUGGAACAGAUGGGAAGAGUUUCAGCUCAAAUGAUGAUUCUUCUCACUUUGCUUUCCGGGAAAUGAUAAAACAUUCUUCCCAUAGCCUGGAAAAAAAGAGGGAUUGAGAGAACACACAGAAGCAUAAAAUACAGUGAACUGAAUUAUGCAGCCAUGUAAUAAAAAAAUGUUGUGAAACAAGAAUACUCUGCUUCCACAGUGUUUCAGUGGCAUUCUUUGAACCUUUCUAUUCUUAGACAUUCUUGUAGCCUGAAGAUAUUCGUCAUCGUGGCAUAACUAAAUGAUUUGUUUUUAUUGGUACAAUCAAUCCACAUUAUUACCUUUGACUACAUGGUUCUCUAUCUUGAUUCUGACAUACGGCUAAUAACUUUUAUGAUGAAAUCACAGAAGUGCUCCAUGGGAUGUAAUUGAAAAUUGUGCUCUGUAGUUUUGUUUUGAACUUCUUUUAAUGUUUAGUAUAGCCAUGUGCAACCUUGAUGGAAGUAAACUGUGAUACAUGGAAUUAAUUUUAACAGGAUAGAUGUAUGCCUCAUCUUGUAAUGAUGGUAAGCAGUUGCAGUUACCACAGCUGGAAGGGGCACCUCUGACACUGAAGCUCCACUGCCAUUCUCUGAUUUGAGCUUUUGAAAUCACACUUUUGGAAAACAUAGAGAAGUAAAGCAUUAAUACAAAUGAAUUUGGAGAGUAAAAAGAGUCAAAUCCAAGGAACAAGCCAUUGUGAUGUGGCGAAAUCCUUGUGGAAAACAGCGGUCUGCUGAUAUGUACCACUAUAGAAGUUAUUACUAUUUCCAGCACAGAUCUGUCCCAUUUGAACUGAAUGCAAAUAUUAUCAUGCCACUUGUGACUCAUUCUGUGCUUCAGCAUUUUUAAAUGUUAUUCUGCUUUUCUUGUGCUAUUUCGUUAUACUUACCAUCAUAUAUGUGCCCUUUUUUUCCUGCUUUUUAUGAUUUUCUUUUAGAUUUUCAGAUUGUUAAACUGUUCUUGAUGCAAUCAUGUUAAUUUUUGAUGUACUUCUAAUCUUUCCUCCAUGUUAGGAUAAUUUGCUGUUGUGCCUUUAUCUUGUGUGUUUCUUUUUCCUUAUCUCUUCUCAGAUACUUGCGUUUCCCUGAGCCAUUUGAAGUCCAUUACCCUUAUUUUGUUAUUUGCAAUUUAAAGGAAGAGUGGAAGACUUAUCAUUUUUAUGAUCUCUUUCACUUGAAUUAACUUCCACUUUAAGAUUCUCAACCAUUUCCUUCAAAAGAAUUUGAAUUAAAUCUAAAAUAGCUACUUUCUGUGUAAUUUCCUCCACUUCAUGAAAGAAAAAACAGUCCCUGACACAUUCAGAGAAUUGAAUAGACAAUCUGUGUCCUGCUUUCUCAGCAGCUCCCGGUUAUACUGCCAUCUCACCACUAGGUCCUGCCAUUUAGGUAUUUCUAGUUUCUGUCCCUUGGAUGUCUCCAAUAGUCGCUAUAUUGAAAAUCUUUGGCUUAAACUCAUCUUUAAGAGCAUUUAUUUCUUUUUCUCUCACAUAAUUUAACUGUUGUUCAGCAAAUCUUUCUGACACUUUUUUCCUUUUCAAGCCACAGCACGUGACUUCUCCUAUGCUUGUUCUUCUAGAUCGUGCUAUGCUAUUCUCUAACAGUGUUCAAGUAUUGCUGUUUUGCCACAUAGCUGUACCACUGUUUGGACCAUGCUGGUGUACCAAUACCAUAAUAUCUAGCUACUUAGAUCUCAUCCUGCAGUGUAUGUUGUCCUGUUUUUCAAACGCUUGAUGUACUACUUCAUGUUCUCCCUUUCUUCUUGAUAUGCUUGCCCACGUUCUGUGCAGCCAGACAUCACCUCUGGCAUGGUCUGUCACUGUUUCAAGCUGCAGAUAUGGAAUGUAUUACUUUAUAUCUUCAGGAAAAUUAAUGUCUUAAGC
ensembl:lncRNA